AUGCCGCUUGAAGAUAUGGAGGCUCCAAAUCUAUGUCAACCCCAUCUUGGUGAUACCUCUACCCGAGACCCUCUUGCUGACAUCUCUAAUGUUGAUCAUCAUUUCCGAAUGACUGCAAUGCCAGUGCAAGGUACUGCUGAUACAAUUCAUGAUGAUGAAGAACAUAACAUGACCUCAUCAAUAGAAAAAAGGGACAUUAUAAACGCACGGAGAAGGGCAGCUUAUAAGGAGAAAAAAGAGAAGGAAGAUGCUCCGAUUAUGUACCAUCACAAGAACAAAGGGAUAAGAUAG
rnacentral:rRNA from 1 species